UUGUCAAUCAAAUUAUUGCUGGACCCUCACACCUUCCAACUGUCAGUGAGGCUUCUGCUGAAGUCGAAUCAGAUGAUGAACCUAGUCCUAAAUACAACCAUGUAUCAGUGCAAGCCUGUGUUCAAGUUAGCCAAAGAAAUGUGUGUACUCAAGUAUUGCCAAAAACAAGCACUAAAGAAAUACAAGUCAAGGUCACACCACUAUUUCAAGAUGCUGAAGUGCAAUGUUUGGAGUAUUGUUAGUUUUAAGAGGAGGAUGAUCAAAGGUUUUUAGUAAAUAAUUUGCUACCCAGAAGACUUAAUCAUCUAACUUUCCUUUGAUAUCGAGUUCUAUCGUAUAAGAAAACUGCAUCACGUGAUCGUAUCGAACCUCCUCUGCAUUCCUAUGUGGACAAACAAAACAUUGACAGAAGGCCAUAGAAUAUAGACAGGUUUACAAGCAUCGGAAGUUCUCUUGCAGUGAAGAGCGAUAUAGUGUCAUCAAUUAUUGAACAAGUUGUCUUUCAAGCCAUCUUGAUAUAUAUAAAUCAUGAGCAAUUCGACUUCAAAAAGCCGUUCAGCUGAUCAUGUCCAGUGGUACACUCCACCAGAACGUAUUUCAUUUACUGGAGGUAGUAAUCCUCGAAACUCUAAUACCAAAGAAAAAGCAAUGACGCCAAAGAAACCCACUGGCCCACCCCCUCUUCAACAGUACCCUCCACCCACUCACAAGUUCUACACGCCCACUCAAACUCCUCCAAAUUAAUCUCAUCAAGAACAAGAAGGAGAUAUUGUUAACUGUACAACGUCCACCUACUUAAUUGAUAAACAUGCAGUAGCAAUCUUGUGUAUAGAAGUCCUUCUCAAAGUAAUCACAUACAUGCAGCUGCAAAUUUCCUAAUUGCCAUUAGCAUUUCUAUUACAUCACCAUUCAUUUUUUACCUGGGGCUAUAGUUUUUGCUCUUAUUAUAUCCUAUUGACCAAUGAGAUUGCUGCAUGGGUGAUAGUGCAGCAGUGCAAAGUAGGGCAUGAAUAUACAUGUACCUACGUAUGAUGAAUAUAUACCUAUCUCCAUAGUAACUUGCGAUGUGCUAUUGGUGCCUGUGCACUUAAUGGACGUAUUAGACCCUGCCUGUUGUAGAGAAAUUUUUCCAACCGAAUAAUUGAGUACCAUAUUAGACACUAGUUGAUAAGAUCUACAUGGGAAGUACAUGAGAAGUACAUGGGAAAAGUGCCUCAGAGUAGGUAUACUAUGGGACUUAGUGUACCUGCAAAUUUACUUAGUAUACCUAGUAGUCCAUUGUCAAGUAAUUGCUCAAUCUACUUACAUUCUUUUCGACCAAGCAUUCAAUUAGAGAAAAGUCGAGCCGGAAACAAGGCUAGGUAUAGAUGUAUAGACAAUACUGGUAACUACAGCACUGUCUUACAUCAGAUACCUACGUGGAUAAUACUUAUAGCAUGCUAGAAGUUAGUAUUUCCAAAGAACUAAGAAGCCAGCGCUUCUGGUCUUGUGCACUUACAUACAGUAUACUUUACUGGAUAUUGUCAACUUUAAUUUCUGGGCAAAUUAGUUCUGUAUCCCAACUUUGCUGUGGUCAGCUCAUGAUUAGUAUACAGCGACUCUGGAACCUGGCUUGAAAUCAAGAAUCUGUGUAUGGAUGCUAUAGUUUCUGACAUCGCAGAAACCGUAAUUAAGUUUACAGAGCAUUACUGUAGUAUUUACCAGAGGAGGUACGACAGGAGACAGGUGCAGUGCAGCUCAAAUAAUUAGCUUCUGACACUCAGCAAUAACACACGACGUGGGCGGAUAAUUAGUGUUCAAUCAGAAAUUAAUUGCUAGAGCUGCACCGUGCCUGUCCUCUGAGUAUAAACACUAGUGAACAAACCACACACACAUAACCAUAAAGAAAUUCUACUAACUAUAUCGCACAUGCAGCCACUUGAAGCCAAAUUUGGAGUCUUAGUGUAAACUGUGUUGUAAAGAAUUUCCCCCAGCCGAAUAAUAAAAGUCAUGACCACCUUAAUGCUAUUCAUGCGAUAAUUAAGAGACCCACCUGCAGGUUUCUUAAGUAAAAAGAGCUAAAAUUUAGAGGUCUCUAUCCUAUAGCCAGGUUUGAAUUCAAGUUCUGUAUAAAGAUCUUGCCCAAAAGAGAAAUCGUAUAUAGUCAUGGGAUCAUGUGAGUCUAAGCAAAGGCGACAUUACCAGAGUUGCUUGUGUCGCGGAUGCCUAAGAGCUCUACUUAGUUGUUGUGGAUAUAGAUAUGCUCAAAAAUCACAGAGAAAUGCUCCCUGUUCGACUCGUGUCAGUAUUUGUGUUGAUUCUGAAGAGAGAGCUUUGAUACCCGAGCAACCCACUGGCCCACCCCCUCCCCCACACAAUCCCCCACCCACUCAGAAGUUUUUCACGCCUACUCCUCCAGUUCCUCCAGCUCCUCCAAAUUAGCCUCACAAGAAAAGACGAGAAAACUGCUUAGAAUAGCAUAGUUAUGAUACAUGCACACUGUAAGCUUUGGUAGUGGAUACUGUUAUGUUUUUGUGCUUUAGAGGCCCUCUUAAUGUUUGUAACUAAUGUUUGUCUCAUCAAGAACAAGGAAUUAAUUUAUGCCACAAAAAUUAAUGUAAACUUUGCUGGAGGAGAUAUAAUUUGCUGUUAUUUUUUGUUUUGUAUCACUGUGCAGUUUUUAUUAUAGUGUGUAUAUAGUAUGGGAGUUUAGGAACACAAUGCUUUCACUUGUUACCUUGAUUAUCAAGGCAGCAUGUUUGUACUUAGUAAUAAUAAAAUUAUAGCAGGAGUCAUGAACUCCUGGUAAUAGUAUAAUACUGCUACAUUAAUUACUAUAGUACGAUUUAUUACGUACAGGCCUGGUUAUUUCAUACGUACAUUGCCUAGCUCACUAACUACCCCUUGCAGGGACCUCCCUAGUCAUGCACUCACUCCCCCUCCCUUUCUGUGACCCCCUUAGUUCAUGCACACUGUAUCCCCUUCAGUGACGCCCUAGUUCAUGCACUCACUCCCCCUGCACCCGAGCGUGGAUGCAGUUGUCCUGUCCAGAGUGACUCAAGGCUACGAGGCCGAGGAGCUAUGUGACUGGGCUGAUAAUUAUGGAACGCCGUUUGCGACAAAAUUCAGGCAGAAUCUGAUAGGCGUGUGCAUCCAAUAUAAAAUCGAUUUUUGAAGAUCGAUUUUUAAUAAUCGAUUUUUUACAGUUGAUUUUCGAUUUACACGUGAACGAUCUUUGACAAUCGAUCUGAUAAUCGAUUUUUGAAAUUCAAUUUUUAAUAAUCGAUUUUUGAAAUUCGAUUUUUGAUAAUCUUUGAUAAUCGAUUUUUAAAAAUGGAUUUUUGAAAUUCGAUUUUUGAUAAUCGAUUUUUAAAAAUGGAUUACAAAAAUCACAAUUGAUUGAUAUACUAGCCUCGAAUCCAGGCCGAUUAAAAUGGAUUCAAGGCUACAGUUAGACUGGAAACCACGCCCCUUCUUUGUAGGGAAAGAGGGCGUGGUUUCAGUCUAGGCUACAGUUAGGCCGCCCUUGAAACUCAGAACAUGCACAAACUCCUUCUCCGCGGCCUGGAAUCAAAGCUUGGCUUGGUUAGCUAUCUCACAUGAUAGACUAUAACGCAAAAGCGAAACAUUAUUGUUUUUUGGAACCAUUAAAAAGGAGGGCCAUAAGUCACAGUAAAAAUCAUUAAUUUUAGAACUGCUCAGUUGGUGCUAUCUUAUUUAGUUUUUUCAUGCACCCAUUUUUGUAUGCUUUCUCGCCAGCACUGUUUUAUUUGGCCAUCUUGUGUGUGCUUAGAGAAAGAGCUGAGAAAGAGUUUGGUGAUUCCAGAUAGAAUAGAAGUCAUGAAUAGUGGCUUCUUCAAUGGAUAGUAUCACGUGAUACAGCUUUAGACAGGGGCCCCCCCCAGCCCACCUUCAGAGCAGUUCUAAAAUCGAUUAUCAAAAAUCGAAUUUCAAUAAUGAUUAUCAAAAAUCAAAAAUCGAAUUUCAAAAAUCAGAUCGAUUGUCAAAGAUCGUUCACGUGUAAAUCAACUGUAAAAAAUCGAUUAUUAAAAAUCUAUCUUCAAAAAUCGAUUUUAUAUUGGAUGCACACGCCUAUCACAUUCUGCCUGAAUUUUGUCGCAAACGGCGUUCCAUAGAUAAUGAGUGGUGGGUGUGGCUGCAUGAGACUAUUGCAAGGAUUGUAGUGUACUCCAGCAGCUUUAAAUUUGUGUGUGUGUAACUAUCAGCAUUAAUUUUAUUGCAACGGUAUAUACAUGUAUGAAUGUCGAUGGCAUUUAUGGGUGUACUGUAAUUAAGAAAUUAGAUCCACAGAAUUGAAUUUAAGGCAACUAAAGGAAUCCCCGAACCAUUGAUUAAACGGGGGGAGUUGAACAUUUCAACAGCCAUAACUUUAGUACCGUUGCUUCAAUGUUUAUAAUUUUCUGAAAGCUUAUAAGGAACAUUUUCAAAUGAUGUGUCCCAUUAAAAUGUGUUUUCUAUCAAUCAGUUCAAGUACUCAUUACCCCCCCCCCUCACACACACACACACACACACACACACACACACACACGCAUUCCAGCCCUGGAUACUCUCAGUUUUCCUGGCGUCCCUGAGCCCUCACUUUGAGCAGUUGUCGCUGUUGGCACGGCAACACGACAACACCCUCUCAUCAACCACCUCCGAUCAUAAUACACCUUUGAACUCUUUAACCUUUAACGAGGACUCUUCCCUACCCCCCACGAACAGAUAGACGGACUAUUACGGACCCCCCAAUCUAGCACUACUACAGAGUCUAAUUGUGUUCUAUCAUGACUGUACAAUUUAUUGUGUGUAUUUUGAUGUGUUGAAUGGAUUACG